rnacentral:rRNA from 1 species
ACGCUCGACACCUACUGGAGGCAGCAGUGGGGAAUAUUGCACAAUGGGGGAAACCCUGAUGCAGCGACGCCGCGUGGAGGAAGAAGGUCUUCGGAUUGUAAACUCCUGUUGUUGGGGAAAAAGNGGAUGGUACCCAACAAGGAAGUGACGGCUAACUACGUGCCCGNAGCCGGCCGGUAAGUACUGAGCGGGCGUGGCGAAGGCG